UAACCCUGAGGCGUGAUGACGAUGCACUACGGUGCAGAAGUAGUUGAUGCCCUGCUUCCAGGAAAAUCCUCUAAGCUCCAGGUAACAUUGAAUCGUACCCCAAACCGACACAGGUGGUCAGGUAGAGAAUACCAAGGCGCUUGAGAGAACUCGGGUGAAGGAACUAGGCAAAAUGGUGCCGUAACUUCGGGAGAAGGCACGCUGGCAUGUAGGUGAAGUCCCUCGCGGAUGGAGCUGAAGCCAGUCGAAGAUACCAGCUGGCUGCAACUGUUUAAUAAAAACACAGCACUGUGCAAACACGAAAGUGGACGUAUACGGUGUGACGCCUGCCCGGUGCUGGAAGGUUAAUUGAUGGGGUCAGCCGCAAGGCGAAGCUCUUGAUCGAAGCCCCAGUAAACGGCGGCCGUAACUAUAACGGUCCUAAGGUAGCGAAAUUCCUUGUCGGGUAAGUUCCGACCUGCACGAAUGGCGUAAUGAUGGCCAGGCUGUCUCCACCCGAGACUCAGUGAAAUUGAACUCGCUGUGAAGAUGCAGUGUACCCGCGGCAAGACGGAAAGACCCCGUGAACCUUUACUAUAGCUUGACACUGAACAUUGAGCCUUGAUGUGUAGGAUAGGUGGGAGGCUUUGAAGCGUGGACGCCAGUCUGCGUGGAGCCAUCCUUGAAAUACCACCCUU
rnacentral:rRNA from 1 species